CCAAUAGCGUAUAUUAAAGUUGCUGCAGUUAAAAAGCUCGUAGUUGAAUUUCGGGACCAAUAUGUCGGUCGUGCCUCGGUACGUACUGGCAUCGUUGGUUUCUCCCUUCUGACGAACCAUGAUGUCAUUCAUUUGGUGUCGUGGGGAAUCAGGACUGUUACUUUGAAAAAAUUAGAGUGUUUAAAGCAGGCUCACGCUUGAAUACAUUAGCAUGGAAUAAUGAAAUAGGACGUUUGAUUCUAUUUUGUUGGUUUCUAGGAUCGACGUAAUGAUUAAUAGGGAUAGUUGGGGGCAUUAGUAUUCAAUUGUCAGAGGUGAAAUUCUUGGAUUUAUUGAAGACUAACUACUGCGAAAGCAUUUGCCAAGGAUGUUUUCAUUAAUCAAGAACGAAAGUUAGGGGAUCGAAGACGUUCAGAUACCGUCGUAGUCUUAACCAUAAACUAUGCCGACUAGGGAUCGGAUGAUGUUAAUUUUUUAAUGACUCAUUCGGCGCCUUACG
rnacentral:rRNA from 1 species